GUGUGUGUGUGUGUGUGUGUGUGUGUGUGUGUCAGAUGUUCCUGAUAUACCAGGGACUCAUUACAAAUGUGUGUCUGUAUACCAGACUGCUAACUUUGACAGAACACAUUUGGCUCUGCACUCUCCAGCAUUUGCCAAGAUAUGUCAGGGACUCAUAUCUUAUCGACACUUUAAUGUGAGUCAUUAAGAUCUAAGCUGACCUUGACAUUUUAACGCCGAAUUUUUUCCAUGUGCGAAAAAUUAUUUUUAUUUUGAUGGUUUUAUGCUUUGGAUCUGGACGGUGUAUACUCAUUACAUUCAGUCCAACAGGAUGGUACUGGUUUUGGUCUGUUUACUAGACUGCGGUCGUUUGUAUACUAGCGUAGGCGUUUAAGAUAAACUCGUAAAUAAAUGCCUUCUCUUACUGUAGCUCAUAGGAUUCCUUAAAUAGUGCCAUGUGAUCUAGUGUUACAACCUGGAUCUGAAAUGGACUUAUAUGUCAUGAAUAUAUUCAAAGACCAGAUUAAAGUGGUGGGAGGGAAAUCUCCCACACUGGUGUGAACCCACUUACCUAGUUGAAUUCAGUCCACCGGUGUGCAGUUAAUUCUAAUAGAAAUACACCUGUUCUCGGAAGAGCGUCUCUCAAAGAGCAUCACAAAGACCAAGGAGAUAUCAAGACAAGUCCAAGACAAAGUUCUGAAAAGCACCUACAAACAACCCUACAGCAUGACGGACCAGACUUGCACCGUUUGGGUUUCACAGAGGACUUGGCUGCAGGUCAAAUCUGUUCUUCUGUUCACCAGUUCAACGAAACGUUACGAAACAUCCUAGAACGUGCACGUCCCUGCUUCUUACUCGAUUCAACCGAUUACAUUGAAAUGGCCUUUAGCAGUCUCGCAGAACUAUAAACACGUUCGGCUUGCGAGGUCUUAGGACCUGUACAGAAGAGAAGUGUCGGAAUUUCAAAACACUAUCUAUACUUUUGCUAAAAUUAGGCAAAGUGGUGUAGUAGGCCACAAAAUGUACCUUGGACUGGUGUAACAGACCUCAAGCAAAGCGUAAACAAUUUAGUAAACAAAACAAAAACAGUCACACUGAAGCAAAUCUGACUUGUUUCACUUUUAUUAGAAAACAAUUAAGAAAAUAUAUUUUUGACAUGGAAAGAAAAAAAAAAAACCUUACAAAAUACAUUCAUUCUCCAUGAGUGCCAUAAACAGUACAUUCAAUGUGUUAUUACCUGACGUUGUUUUUCACAAUUUGGAAUUGAAUUAGCCGUCUUUGGAAUGUUAAGUACACUUCAGAGUGGUAGAACAAGUUUAAAGCUUAAUGCAUCGUCGUGCAUAAUCCCUGUACCCAGGCGCGCUGCUGUUGUAACAAGAGGAAAUGGCACCUUGAACAAACGUGGCUUGUUAUCCAGCUAAUGACUGUAAGACUGUUUGUGCCUGCUACAGCAGUGUAAUAAUCAGAACGCCACUGGGAGAGAAAAAAAAAAAAAAAAAAAAAUUGAAAAAAAAAAAAAAAACGAAAAA